rnacentral:rRNA from 1 species
AUACGGAGGGUGCAAGCGUUAAUCGGAAUUACUGGGCGUAAAGCGCGCGUCGGCGGUUAUUUAAGUCAGAUGUGAAAUCCCUGGGCUCAACCUAGGAACUGCAUCUGAUACUGGGUAACUAGAGUUUUGGAGAGGUAAGUGGAAUUUCCGGUGUAGCGGUGAAAUGCAUAGAGAUCGGAAGGAACACCAGUGGCGAAGGCGACUUACUGGCCAAAAACUGACGCUGAGGUGCGAAAGCGUGGGUAGCAAACAGUAUUAGAAACCCCAGUAGUCC